GGGGGAGUAUGGUCGCAAGGCUGAAACUUAAAGGAAUUGACGGAAGGGCACCACCAGGAGUGGAGCCUACGGCUUAAUUUGACUCAACACGGGAAACUUACCAGGUCUAGACAUAGUAAGGAUUGACAGACUGAGAGCUCUUUCUUGAUUCUAUGGGUGGUGGUGCAUGGCCGUCCUUAGUUGGUGGAGCGAUUUGUCUGGUUUAUUCCAUUAACGAACGAGACCUCAGCCUGCUAACUAGCUGCGUGGAGGCAUCCCUUCACGGUCGGCUUCUUAAAGGGACUGAGGCCGUUUGGGCCAAGGAAGUUUGAGGCAAUAACAGGUCUGUGAUGCCCUUAGAUGUUCUGGGCCGCAUGCGCGCUACAAUGAUGUAUUCAAUGAGUUCACACCUUGGCCGACAGGCCCGGGUAAUCUUUGAAAUUUCAUCGUGAUGGGGAUAGAUCAUUGCAAUUGUUGGUCUUCAAUGUGGAAUUCCUAGUAAGCGCGAGUCAUCAGUUCGCGUUGACAACGUCCCUGCCCUUUGUACACACCGCCCGUCGCUCCUACUAAUUGAAUAAUCUGGUGUUCGGAUCGCGGCAACGUGGGUAGUUCGCCGUCUGCAACGUCGCGAGAAGUCCACUAAACCUUAUCAUUUAGAGGAAGGAGAAGUCGUAACAAGGUUUCCGUUGGUGAACCUGCGGAAG
rnacentral:ncRNA from 2 species